CCCUUAGAUGUUCUGGGCCGCACGCGCGCUACACUGAUGCAUUCAACGAGCCUAGCCUUGACCGAGAGGUCCGGGUAAUCUUUGAAACUGCAUCGUGAUGGGGCUAGAUUAUUGCAAUUAUUAAUCUUCAACGAGGAAUGCCUAGUAAGCGUGAUUCAUCAAAUCGCGUUGAUUACGUCCCUGCCCUUUGUACACACCGCCCGUCGCUCCUACCGAUUGAGUGUGUUGGUGAGGAGUUCGGAUUGGCUCUUAGUGGUGGUUCGCCACCACCUAGAGCUGAGAAGUUCUCCAAACCUUGCCACUUAGAGGAAGGAGAAGUCGUAACA
rnacentral:rRNA from 1 species